GGGUUGUGAGGUUAAGCGACUAAGCGUACACGGUGGAUGCCCUGGCAGUCAGAGGCGAUGAAGGGCGUGCUAAUCUGCGAUAAGCGCCGGUAAGGUGAUAUGAACCGUUAUAACCGGCGAUACCCGAAUGGGGAAACCCAGUGUGACUCGUCACACUAUCAUUAACUGAAUCCAUAGGUUAAUGAGGCGAACCGGGGGAACUGAAACAUCUAAGUACCCCGAGGAAAAGAAAUCAACCGAGAUUCCCCCAGUAGCGGCGAGCGAACGGGGAGGAGCCCAGAGCCUGAAUCAGCAUGUGUGUUAGUGGAAGCGUCUGGAAAGGCGCGCGAUACAGGGUGACAGCCCCGUACACAAAAGCGCAUGUGCUGUGAGCUCGAUGAGUAGGGCGGGACACGUGGUAUCCUGUCUGAAUAUGGGGGGACCAUCCUCCAAGGCUAAAUACUCCUGACUGACCGAUAGUGAACCAGUACCGUGAGGGAAAGGCGAAAAGAACCCCGGCGAGGGGAGUGAAAAAGAACCUGAAACCGUGUACGUACAAGCAGUGGGAGCCUCUUUUAUGGGGUGACUGCGUACCUUUUGUAUAAUGGGUCAGCGACUUAUAUUCUGUAGCAAGGUUAACCGAAUAGGGGAGCCGGAGGGAAACCGAGUCUUAACCGGGCGUUAAGUUGCAGGGUAUAGACCCGAAACCCGGUGAUCUAGCCAUGGGCAGGUUGAAGGUUGGGUAACACUAACUGGAGGACCGAACCGACUAAUGUUGAAAAAUUAGCGGAUGACCUGUGGCUGGGGGUGAAAGGCCAAUCAAACCGGGAGAUAGCUGGUUCUCCCCGAAAGCUAUUUAGGUAGCGCCUCGUGAAUUCAUCUCCGGGGGUAGAGCACUGUUUCGGCUAGGGGGCCAUCCCGGCUUACCAACCCGAUGCAAACUGCGAAUACCGGAGAAUGUUAUCACGGGAGACACACGGCGGGUGCUAACGUCCGUCGUGAAGAGGGAAACAACCCAGACCGCCAGCUAAGGUCCCAAAGUCAUGGUUAAGUGGGAAACGAUGUGGGAAGGCCCAGACAGCCAGGAUGUUGGCUUAGAAGCAGCCAUCAUUUAAAGAAAGCGUAAUAGCUCACUGGUCGAGUCGGCCUGCGCGGAAGAUGUAACGGGGCUAAACCAUGCACCGAAGCUGCGGCAGCGACACUAUGUGUUGUUGGGUAGGGGAGCGUUCUGUAAGCCUGUGAAGGUGGCCUGUGAGGGUUGCUGGAGGUAUCAGAAGUGCGAAUGCUGACAUAAGUAACGAUAAAGCGGGUGAAAAGCCCGCUCGCCGGAAGACCAAGGGUUCCUGUCCAACGUUAAUCGGGGCAGGGUGAGUCGACCCCUAAGGCGAGGCCGAAAGGCGUAGUCGAUGGGAAACGGGUUAAUAUUCCCGUACUUGGUGUUACUGCGAAGGGGGGACGGAGAAGGCUAUGUUGGCCGGGCGACGGUUGUCCCGGUUUAAGCGUGUAGGUGUGUGUUCCAGGUAAAUCCGGUUCACUUUAACACUGAGGCGUGACGACGAGGCACUACGGUGCUGAAGCAACAAAUGCCCUGCUUCCAGGAAAAGCCUCUAAGCAUCAGGUAACAUCAAAUCGUACCCCAAACCGACACAGGUGGUCAGGUAGAGAAUACCAAGGCGCUUGAGAGAACUCGGGUGAAGGAACUAGGCAAAAUGGUGCCGUAACUUCGGGAGAAGGCACGCUGACACGUAGGUGAAGUGAUUUACUCACGGAGCUGAAGUCAGUCGAAGAUACCAGCUGGCUGCAACUGUUUAUUAAAAACACAGCACUGUGCAAACACGAAAGUGGACGUAUACGGUGUGACGCCUGCCCGGUGCCGGAAGGUUAAUUGAUGGGGUCAGCGCAAGCGAAGCUCCUGAUCGAAGCCCCGGUAAACGGCGGCCGUAACUAUAACGGUCCUAAGGUAGCGAAAUUCCUUGUCGGGUAAGUUCCGACCUGCACGAAUGGCGUAAUGAUGGCCAGGCUGUCUCCACCCGAGACUCAGUGAAAUUGAACUCGCUGUGAAGAUGCAGUGUACCCGCGGCAAGACGGAAAGACCCCGUGAACCUUUACUAUAGCUUGACACUGAACAUUGAGCCUUGAUGUGUAGGAUAGGUGGGAGGCUUUGAAGUGUGGACGCCAGUCUGCAUGGAGCCGGCCUUGAAAUACCACCCUUUAAUGUUUGAUGUUCUAACGUGGACCCGUAAUCCGGGUUGCGGACAGUGUCUGGUGGGUAGUUUGACUGGGGCGGUCUCCUCCUAAAGAGUAACGGAGGAGCACGAAGGUUGGCUAAUCCUGGUCGGACAUCAGGAGGUUAGUGCAAUGGCAUAAGCCAGCUUGACUGCGAGCGUGACGGCGCGAGCAGGUGCGAAAGCAGGUCAUAGUGAUCCGGUGGUUCUGAAUGGAAGGGCCAUCGCUCAACGGAUAAAAGGUACUCCGGGGAGUAACAAGGCUGAUACCGCCCAAGAGUUCAUAUCGACGGCGGUGUUUGGCACCUCGAUGUCGGCUCAUCACAUCCUGGGGCUGAAGUAGGUCCCAAGGGUAUGGCUGUUCGCCAUUUAAAGUGGUACGCGAGCUGGGUUUAGAACGUCGUGAGACAGUUCGGUCCCUAUCUGCCGUGGGCGCUGGAGAACUGAGGGGGGCUGCUCCUAGUACGAGAGGACCGGAGUGGACGCAUCACUGGUGUUCGGGUUGUCAUGCCAAUGGCACUGCCCGGUAGCUAAAUGCGGAAGAGAUAAGUGCUGAAAGCAUCUAAGCACGAAACUUGCCCCGAGAUGAGUUCUCCCUGAGACUACGAGUCUCCUGAAGGAACGUUGAAGACGACGACGUUGAUAGGCCGGGUGUGUAAGCGCAGCGAUGCGUUGAGCUAACCGGUACUAAUGAACCGUGAGGCUUAACCUUACAACGCCGAAG
rnacentral:rRNA from 1 species